AUACUUACCUAGACGGGGUCAAUGGGUGAUCAAGAAGGCCCAUGGCCUAGGUUGGUGACCUCUAUUGCACUAAAGAGUGGUGCUUGUCUAAGGUCUAUCCAAGUGGUGGAGCCUACGUCAUAAUUUGUUGCAGUGGGGACCUGCGUUCGCGCGGCCCGUAC